rnacentral:rRNA from 1 species
CCUACGGGGGGCAGCAGUGAGGAAUAUUGGUCAAUGGGCGGAAGCCUGAACCAGCCAAGUCGCGUGAGGGAAUAAGGCCCUACGGGUCGUAAACCUCUUUUGCCGGGGAGCAAGGGCGGGGACGUGUCCCGGCCCGGAGAGUACCCGGAGAAAAAGCAUCGGCUAACUCCGUGCCAGCAGCCGCGGUAAUCCGGGGGAUGCGAGCGUUAGCCGGAUUUUUUGGGUUUAAAUGGUGCGUGGUCGUGCUUUUAAGUCAGCGGUAAAACGUCGGGGCUCAACCCCGUACGGCCGUUGAAACUGGGGGCCUUGAGUGGGCGAGAAGAAGGCGGAAUGCGUGGUGUAGCGGUGAAAUGCAUAGAUAUCACGCAGAACCCCGAUUGCGAAGGCAGCCUUCCGGCGCCCUACUGACGCUGAGGCACGAAAGUGCGGGGAUCGAACAGGAUUAGAUACCCUUGUAGUC